CUGAAUUUCUCUUCUCUCCCUGGAAGCUGCGGUGGUUAUAUAAUUCACAGGAGCAAUUUUGCCUCCAUUCCUAGAUGUGGUUCUCAGGUUCCAACUAUGGGAGUCCACGCCCAGCUCAUGCCAACAUGAAUGCCAAUGCAGCUGCGGGGCUGGCCCCUGAGCACAUCCCCACCCCGGGGGCAGCCCUAUCCUGGCAAGCAGCCAUCGAUGCGGCCCGGCAGGCCAAGCUGAUGGGCAGUGCUGGGAAUGCGACCAUCUCCACUGUCAGCUCUACACAGCGGAAGCGGCAGCAGUAUGGGAAACCCAAGAAGCAGGGUGGCACGACCGCCACGCGGCCGCCCCGGGCCCUGCUCUGCCUGACUCUGAAGAACCCUAUCCGGAGAGCGUGCAUAAGCAUUGUCGAAUGGAAAUAUCCUUUGUGCUCUAGCCUGGACAGGGUGCUUCAGGGACCUGAACCUGAGGACUGAUCCUCUGAGGCUUCAUAGCCAGUGGAGUGUGUUGGUGUUCUGAGCCUACAAACUGGUUCUAAGAGCAUGGAUCUGCAUCCAUGAGGCCUGUAAAAAUGCAGAGUUCUGGGUCCUACCCUAGACCCAAUCUCUUGAAUCUCUGGGGACAGGACCCAGGAAUCUGCUUGUAUAACAAACUUCCCAGUUUUUCUUCCCCACUCCUUAUACACAGGUUGGGUAUCCCCAAUCCAAAACUUCUGAGGUCUGAAUUGCUCCAAAAUCUGAAACCUUUGAGAGCUGAUAUGAUGCCACAAGUGGAAAAUUCCACACCUCUCCUUUUGUGACAGGUUGUAGUCAAAACACAGUCACACAAAAUAUAUUGUAUAAAAUUACCUUCAGCUUGUGUUUAUAAGGUAGAUGUGAAACAAAUAAAUUUCGUGUUUAGAUUUGA
rnacentral:lncRNA from 1 species